GUCUUUUUCACCUAGAAAUAAUCAUAAACCUAACAUUCCAAAUAGUUCACCAGACUAGACUGGUAGAGCAUUUACCAACCAGUCAGCUAGUAUACCUUCCCAAUUGAUAUAAGCUCUCCAAUCCAUCAUUUUUCCCAUUAAAUUACCACCAAAGUUUCGCCAAGAGUAGUUCUUGUUCAUCCUUCUCCAAGCAAGCUCCCAAGAAGAUUCUGUUUUGACAUCCCCAACUGCCUGCUGUUCAUAUUUCAUAAGGGUUGCCAUAGGAUACUGGUACUUUAUGAAUAUGAAACCAAGUGUCUGAAUGUAGAUUCUGAGAGACAAUAAAGAUGUCUCUUUACCUUUAUUCCCUCAUGCCAAGUUUCUUCCCUUGGCAGAAAGACAGAAGCAUGAGAAACAUGCAUAGGAAGCAUGUGCUACACAGUGUGGCAAGCAAAGUUACUGAUUGAAAAGGCUUUUAAAUUUCAGUAAUGGGGUGGAAGGUAACCGUGCAAUCGAUCUAGGAUACACAACUACUACAUGGAAGUGAAGCAACUAGCUGUAAAAAGUUUUUUGAGUUUUGACAUGAUGCUCAAGCACCUGAUAACUGUCAAUAAUUGUUGAAUAUGAAUGACAGAAAUUUGAGUAUGAA